rnacentral:rRNA from 1 species
UACAGAGGUGGCAAGCGUUGUUCGGAAUUACUGGGCGUAAAGCGUGCGCAGGCGGUUUUGUAAGCCAGAUGUGAAAUCCCCGGGCUCAACCUGGGAAUGGCAUUUGGGACUGCAAGGCUUGAGUGCGGCAGAGGAGACUGGAAUUCCUGGUGUAGCAGUGAAAUGCGUAGAUAUCAGGAGGAAUACCGAUGGCGAAGGCAGGUCUCUGGGCUGACACUGACGCUCAUGCACGAAAGCGUGGGGAGCAAACAGG